rnacentral:rRNA from 1 species
UACGAAGGGGGCUAGCGUUACUCGGAAUUACUGGGCGUAAAGGGCGCGUAGGCGGCGUUCCAAGUUAGGCGUGAAAGUCCUGGGCUCAACCUGGGAACUGCGCUUAAGACUGGAAUGCUAGAGGAUGGAAGAGGGUUGUGGAAUUCCCAGUGUAGAGGUGAAAUUCGUAGAUAUUGGGAAGAACACCGGUGGCGAAGGCGGCAACCUGGUCCAUUUCUGACGGCUGAGGCGCGAUAGCGUGGGGAGCAAACAGG